rnacentral:sRNA from 1 species
AGCAGCCGCGGUAAUUCCAGCUCCAAUAGCGUAUAUUAAAGUUGCUGCAGUUAAAAAGCUCGUAGUUGAAUUUCGGGACCAUCAUGUCGGUCGUGCCUCGGUACGUACUGGCAUUGUUGGUUUCUACCUUCUGACGAACCAUGAUGUCAUUUAUUUGGUGUCGUGGGGAAUCAGGACUGUUACUUUGAAAAAAUUAGAGUGUUUAAAGCAGGCUCACGCUUGAAUACAUUAGCAUGGAAUAAUGAAAUAGGACGUUUGAUUCUAUUUUGUUGGUUUCUAGGAUCGACGUAAUGAUUAAUAGGGAUAGUUGGGGGCAUUAGUAUUCAAUUGUCAGAGGUGAAAUUCUUGGAUUUAUUGAAGACUAACUACUGCGAAAGCAUUUGCCAAGGAUGUUUUCAUUAAUCAAGAACGAAAGUUAGGGGAUCGAAGACGAUCAGAUACCGUCGUAGUCUUAACCAUAAACUAUGCCGACUAGGGAUCGGAUGAUGUUAAUUUUUUUAAUGACUCAUUCGGCGCCUUA